GCAACGAGCGCAACCCUUGCCUUUAGUUGCCAGCAGUUCGGCUGGGCACUCUAAAGGGACUGCCGGUGUUAAACCGGAGGAAGGUGGGGAUGGACGUCAAGUCCUCAUGGCCUUUAUGACCAGGGCUACACACGUACUACAAUGGCCGAUACAAAGGGCAGCGACACUGCGAGGUGAAGCCAAUCCCGUAAAAUACGGUCUCAGUCCGGAUUGGAGUCUGCAACUCGACUCCAUGAAGUUGGAAUCGCUAGUAAUCGUGGAUCAGCAUGCCACGGUGAAUACGUUCCCGGGCCUU
rnacentral:rRNA from 1 species